CUGCAGAAGCAAGAACGAAAGUGUCCAUAUAUGCAACUGACUAGGAGAUCUAACUGAUGAAAGAAGAAAAUAGGAAUCAGGGAAAUUCAUGUUACUAUCCUUGCCUAAGACUUCUCUCUGAUUAGAGAGGUUCAGAUAUGGAGCACACAAGCGAAAUUAAGAAAAACUUUGAUUGAUAUUCUUAAUAUGGUAACAGUUGGGGGCGUCAAUAAUUCCCACUUCAUUUUGUCAUGUGUUAACACAUCAACCUUGUGAUCCUCCUCAUCUUCUUCCUAGAGAAUGUUUGGACUACCCUAUUGUUAACCUGCAAUGUCAGAUAUUGCAGGCUCUAUUAUGAAGAUAUGCUCUUUUUCUGUGGAUGUUCAUAGACUUAUUCAAACUC